rnacentral:tRNA from 1 species
CAGGGAGACAACAAAAUGUUUUAUAUUAUUAUUUUGUCACCUUAGGUCGAUCGGUAUCUCACAUUCUUGAUUUAUCAAGAAUUUCAUUUCUAAGUUUUUCUAGGUCACACCCAUUAUUUUUCCUGGGCCAUUAGCUCAGGUGGUUAGAGCGCACCCCUGAUAAGGGUGAGGUCCCUGGUUCAAGUCCAGGAUGGCCCAUAUCUCUAUGUUGGGGGUAUAGCUCAGUUGGUAGAGCGCCUGCUUUGCAAGCAGGAUGUCAGCGGUUCGAGUCCGCUUACCUCCACUGAUUACCCCCUCUUCCAUAUUUUUAGAAAGGAAAAUUUUGAGUUGUGAUCAAAUUCUGAACGAAUCUAGCUUCCUAAUGUAACCAUUAAGAUGCUGGACUCAUUGAAUUAAUUUCAUUGUUUUCAGAGAACCUUGACAACUGCAUAGAUUAUUUUUUUAAAGACAAUAAGCAUCUUUAAUGAUGCAGAUUUAUUAUUUGUGCUAAAGCAUUAAUAACAAUUCUAUUAAGCUGAUGCUUCAAUUUUGAAGUUAUU